rnacentral:tRNA from 1 species
GGGAAGGUGGCUCAAUGGUAGAGUGCUUGUCUUGUAUGCAUGAGGUCCUGGGUUCGAUUCCUCAGCCCCA